rnacentral:rRNA from 1 species
CUACGGGAGGCUCCAGUGAGGAAUAUUGCACAAUGGGGGGAACCCUGAUGCAGCAACGCCGCGUGGAGGAUGACGCAUUUCGGUGUGUAAACUCCUUUUAUAUGUCGAGAAAAUGACGGUAGCAUAUGAAUAAGCACCGGCUAACUCCGUGCCGGCAGCCGCGGUAAUACGGAGGGUGCAAGCGUUACUCGGAAUCACUGGGCGUAAAGGACGCGUAGGCGGGUUGGAAAGUCAGGUGUGAAAUCCUACAGCUUAACUGUAGAACUGCACUUGAAACUUCUAAUCUAGAGUAUGGGAGGGGGAGAUGGAAUUAGUGGUGUAGGGGUAAAAUCCGUAGAUAUCACUAGGAAUACCUAAAGCGAAGGCGAUCUCCUGGAACAUUACUGACGCUAAGGCGUGAAAGCGUGGGGAGCAAACAGGAUUAGAUACCCCCGUAGUC